rnacentral:misc_RNA from 1 species
AGCAGCCAUGCCACAAUAGCAGCUGGGUUGACAGAAAAUCAAUCAGUGACCUCAUUAUACAAAACUCGAGUAUCAGAUUCGAAGUGAGCACUGUUUUUGGAUACAACAAAAUUAAGAAAUCAAUUUAAGCUGUUUUUUCCCCUUUAUUCUUUAGAAGAUGAUUGAGGCCAUAAAUAUAUGAUAAUAAGAGAGGUACUCUAACCUUGCCUAUAGUGUAAGG